UCUGGAUCGACCUGCCGUUGUUGAUUCAAGAGUGGUGUUUACAAGUGGAUCGAGAGCUACUGCUGUUGAUUCGUGUGAACUGAACUGCUGAUGUCCUGAUAACGCCAGUGGGAUCCCCUCCAAAGAACAAUUUCUAAACAGGGUCUAGAUCUGAAGCGUGCAGCAGGACGCCUGUUUUAAGUGUAAGGCUUCUGAAGACCUUUACCACAAUAACGACCUGAGUCAGUGGUUCUAUGACCAGCUGCGGUGAAAACAAAUCCAGGGAACAUUAUAUAACAUAAAACUUUUUGUGAACUGCCCUGGUGUGGCCUGAGCAGUAGCUGCCAUCUCUUACCCUCAGACCCUCUGGAAACUCCAAGAUCAUCAGAAAGAGGACCAAGAAGUUCAUCCAGCACCAGCCGGACCGGAAUGUCAAAAUUAUGCGCAACUGGUGGAAACCCAGAGUUACAGAUGCACACACCCCCUCUUGGUAACUGUCAUUCCGCGACUCACCACUAGAGGGAAGGCUCUGGGUACCACUAGCCUGCCCUCUAGUGGCGAAACUCGGAAUGACAUGUUUUUUCUUUUUUAUAAGUAUGGGUUACCACACCCUCUUACCGAAUUGCAGUGAGAAAAAUUCAUGCUUAUAAUGACGCUAAAUGUCCCGCGACUCAUAAUUUUAUAUCUGCUGGUGAGGUGGUGAUGCAAUCUACUCCUGUUCAACAAAUUAAAAGUGGAAGCAGCUUGUCCCAUCAGCCACCAACCAACAGCUACAAGAGUGCCCAUGCCUGCUUCGACACUUUCCUUCUCUGAGUCCUGCUGCCUUGGGGCUUGGCCCCUUAACGCCAGCUCUUUUCCUUCUCUGCCCCGAAAGCUCACUCGCCAGACAUGAGUUUGCCUUCUGAGGCCAAAGGGCAAACCUGUCCUGCAGAGUGGCACCUUCCCAAGACGCUCAGUUCCAGAGCACCCAGAAAAGAAACUGAGUCAAACUCAAGAUUGUUGCUGGGUCUCUGGUACCUGGCCACUUAGCUACAAAGGUAAAAUGUUCUUGUCCAUUGUCUGGGGUACAAGCUACCUAGGAAAGAGCAACUGCCAAUCAGACCUCCAAGUGAGACCGGAAGUCAAAGUCAGAAGAGGUGAAUCUUUAUGGGACAUUUCAACCAGGUCAUAGUAAAACCCAGGCCUGCAAAAGAGUGCGGGAUCGCUUCCAAUAGCCUUGCUUUAACAUUGAAUGC
ensembl:lncRNA LOC120098824 uncharacterized LOC120098824